rnacentral:rRNA from 1 species
UACGAAGGGGGCUAGCGUUGCUCGGCUUGACUGGGCGUAAAGGGCGCGUAGGCGGUUCGUACAGUCAGACGUGAAAUUCCUGGGCUCAACCUGGGGGCUGCGUUUGAUACGUGCGGACUUGAGUGCGGAAGAGGGUCGUGGAAUUCCCAGUGUAGAGGUGAAAUUCGUAGAUAUUGGGAAGAACACCGGUGGCGAAGGCGGCGACCUGGUCCGAUACUGACGCUGAGGCGCGAAAGCGUGGGGAGCAAACAGG